GACGUAGGAGGCGAGCGUUGUCCGGAUUUAUUGGGCGUAAAGAGCGUGUAGGCGGCCAGGUAGGUCUGGUGUGAAAACUCGAGGCUUAACCUUGAGAUGUCAUCGGAAACCAUUUGGCUAGAGUCCGGAAGAGGAAAGUGGAAUUCCUGGUGUAGCGGUGAAAUGCGCAGAUAUCAGGAAGAACACCAAUGGCGAAAGCAGCUUUCUGGGACGGUACUGACGCUGAGACGCGAAAGCGUGGGGAGCGAACAGG
rnacentral:rRNA from 1 species